AAAGGAACUAAGGGCGCACAGUGGAUGCCUUGGCACUAAGAGCCGAUGAAGGACGCAAUUAACGGCGAUACGCCACGGGGAGCUGUAAAUAAGUGGAGAUCCGUGGAUUUCCGAAUGGGACAACCCGUUGCAUUGAAGAUGCAUCAUCCUUGAAAAAGGAAGGAAACGCAGUGAACUGAAAUAUCUAAGUAACUGUAGGAAAAGAAAGUAAUAACGAUUCUGGUAGUAGUGACGAGCGAACCCGGAAGAGCCUGAUGCUAUUUCUAGUUACCAAGUUUUUGUCAAGUAGAAGCUUUUGGAAAGAAGCACCAUAGAAGGUGACAGUCCUGUAAACGUAAGCAAAGACCUAGAGCAUCGAUAAGU
rnacentral:rRNA from 1 species